rnacentral:lncRNA from 1 species
ACAAGAAGAAACAGAAGAGGAAGAGGAAGAGGAAGAUGAACGUGGAUCUGGAAUCCUUGGCAGAAGCCACUUCUGGAGCCAUAGGAUCAUUGCUUAGCACAACAAUUCUCUACCCUCUUGAUACCUGCAAGACUAAGUAUCAAGCUGAGGCACGUUCUAAGGGUAACAGAAAGUACAAGUAUGUUUAACAACCCUUUGAUUAUUCAUUUUAUGAUUUCUUGCUUUUGAUCCUGUUACCCUUUGUUGUAAAGAUCAUGUUUUUGUUCUUGAUUUUGUGUUUGAUCGUUUUUUUGUUUUUUGGGUGGUUUCCUUGUUAUUAUCGAUUGUUAAGUUGUUUUGAUUGGUGGGUUUUUUAUCAUUUUGAUUUUGUUGGUGUAAAAAUUGUGUUUUUUUGUUCUUGAUGGAAAAAAAUGUGUUGUUUGAAUUGUGCUAUUUUGUUCUUUGUCGUGGUGGGAAAGGACUCUUGUUUCAUUGAAUUGAGUAACUGUAUUGUAGUUCUUAAUUUUGCAUAAUUGUCAUGCUUUACAAGUUUCAAAUAUUUGCUUUGUAGCAUAAGUUUCUCUGUUUUUUAUGUCAAUUAUCCAAGGAGUAUGUAGUUUGAGCUGUAUUGUCAAUUUGCGUGGGCUAUUCCAUACAUAGUUUUGCUCUGGCUUUAAAUAGACCCCCCAAUAUUGGACGGUGGGAUUGGUCCUCCGUACUGGUUUGUUUGUCCUUCGACCAGAUACCAAGUUUUUUUAAAAAAUACUAAUAUAUUACUUUGAAAUAUAUGCUUUGUUGUGUUCGAAAAGUUUUUUUUGGGGACGUUUGUCUGAUUUGUCAAGCACGUGUUGUAUGAGUGUCGCACAGGUGUUCGACACCGGCACCUAUUGGACUAAGAGUCAUGGCUAAUUUUAGAAGUGUAAUAGUGUAUUGGUGUGGACAUUGAAAGGUGGAAUGCUGUUAGCUUUGGUUUAUAUUAUACUACUUCUAGUUUUUUCAAUCAAAUCAUUCAAUGAAAGUUGAAUUGCAUUUCUUAACUCUUAAAUAAAAGAAAGAAACCUUUUACAAUGUCACAUGAUCACUAGCAUUAGAUUUAUUGGAAAGAUUUGGAGAACUAGAGGUCCAUGGUUCGAGUGAAGUUUUUUUUAAUUUAUACUUAAAAAUAAGUUGGAUUAAAGCUUGUGGAAUGUGCCAACACGUCAAGUUGGAUAUAAUCAAUACAUUUAACCAUUCAAUUGAGGAAACUGGAAGCAGAGGAACCAAAUUGAGGAAAAUUAUAUCUUAUGAGGAACAAUUGAAUGGCUUAGGUUUCUUAAUUAUUGAUUUUUCUUUUGAUGAUUUGUUAAAUUUUAAUGUUUGUUUGAUUAAGUUAAAAAUGGGAAUGAAGUGUGAUGCAUUCAAAUUUUACAAAUGAUAAGCAUGUUCCCCGUGUGGUUCUGCCAAAUUGCAUAGAAAAUACAGUUCUGUAGUUGUCAGAAUUUGAUUGGCUUAGGUUGAUUGAUCUUACUUCAACAAAAUUAGCCACCACAAUUCAUCUCUUGCUGUGUUGUCAAAUAGCGGCGCUAUAGCAUAAGGAAUCUUGAACAAAUAACUAUUGUUCUGCAAUACGCUGUUUAGUACAAAGUGCUGUCAAAUAGUGACGCUAUAGCAUUGUAGCAUAGCAGAAUUUGAACUACUAUUUUCCAAUAUCCUCGAUAGACAUCACCAAGCUCUUUGGUUUAUGUACUUAAUUACAUUGUACUUGUUUUACCUUUGCAGGAAUCUCUCUGAUGUGUUAUGGGAGGCAAUAUCUAACCGUCAGAUUCUUUCCCUUUACCAGGGACUUGGAACAAAAAAUCUUCAAUCCUUCUUUUCACAAUUUGUCUACUUUUAUGGUUAUAGUUACUUUAAAAGACUGUAUCUAGAAAAAAGUGGAUAUAAUUCCAUUGGAACAAGAGCAAAUUUGUUAAUUGCUGCUGCUGCUGGGGCUGUCACCGCCAUCACAACUCAGGUGAGGUAGCAUUACCUUUUUUUUUUUGUUUAUAAAAGAGAUUUGUAGUUUUAGUUUUACGCGUGCAUUUAAAAUAUAUCUUCUACGAUGUUUUGACCAUACCUAAUAAUCGUUAUAAAUUGGCAUUGUUGUUCUGGAUAGCUCAAAAUUGUGAUCUAAAUCUUAUGGUUAUGCUUUAUGGUAUGCUUAUUUUGUUGGUGUUUCACUGUUGGAAUGUUGAACCUCUUCCAACAUUACGUUUGUCUGAGUGGAAUUGAUCUCGGAUCACUUAAGCAAGGUCUCGGGUCCGAACCUUGUGGAUGGAAAAAACGUUGUUGGGAGGGGAAAUGCCACUAUAAAGGUGGCCAGUCAGGUUCCCCUAUGGAGGUGAAUAUUUCGCACCAAUAACCAUACAUGAUGUUUCACAAGUAGAUAUAAUAAAUCAUGGUUGCAAUUAUCUGUUAUUAUCUACGAACAUAUUAUUUUAUAUUUGGUCUUUGUUAUCUUGUGUAUGAAAGAUAAUGUAAUUUAAUGAAAUUAUGUAAUUUUAAUACAAGAGUAUCUUAUUGAUGACUGUGUAGCCCCUGGAUACAGCCUCUUCAAGGAUGCAGACAAGUCCCUUUGGAAAGGCUAAAGGGCUACUGAGAACCCUUACAGAAGGCACAUGGAGUGAUGCAUUUGAUGGCCUUAGCAUUUCCUUGAUGCUCACCUCUAACCCUGCAAUUCAGGUAGCUCAAGCUAGUUUGUCUCAACUGGAACGGUCAUUUGUUAUUUCUUUUAAGUUGCAUUUUACUUAAAAGGCUUUUUUCAAGACCAAUAUAGCUUAUCUUUGAAAUAUCUAUGUGCUACAGUAUACAGUGUUUGAUCAGCUGAAAAACCGAGUACUGACAAACAAUCAAACCAUAGCUGAGAAAGGAGUAUCUCCAGCAUCGCUGUCUGCGUUUAUGGCCUUUAUUUUAGGUGCAGUUUCAAAGAGUAUUGCUACCUGUCUAACAUAUCCUGCUAUCAGGUAUAUAAUUAUUCCUUCCAACUUGUUUUGAUCUGCGAAGUUAGUUUCUACUGCACUACUGAUAUCUUUUUCUUUUUUAUCUUCGUAUAGGUGCAAAGUCAUAAUUCAAGCUGAAGACACGGAUGAAGAAUCUUCCAAAAAACUGAUAAAAUCACCGAAAACUGUGUCCAGUGUUGUCAUCGGAAUAUGAAACAGGAGGGCUUAUUGGGCUAUUUUAAAGGAUUGCAUGCUCAGAUAUUGAAAACGGUUUUGAGCUCAGCAUUGCUCUUGAUGAUCAAGGAAAAGAUCUCAGCCACUACUUGGGUCCUUAUACUUGCAAUUAAAAGGUAUCUAUUACUCCCAAAGGGUAGGGUUAAAAACGUGUAAUAUAGUCGUUAUUGGAGGAAGAAGCUUCGAUGCAAUGUGUGCAUUUUGACAAAUACAUCCAUUUCGUUUGAGCUAAGACGGAGUUCUUUUUCUGGCUUCUCUUUGGUCCUAUGCCCUUCGCUUGUUGAUGUAGAACAACUAGUCCAAGAAUUUACGCAAAUGCGCAAUAGACCAUAGCAAGGCUGAAAGUCUUAAUAAAAUGCAUUCGAGUUUUGAUUUGUUAUAUUUCAUAUAAUAAAUAAUAAUGUUACUUCUUAGUUUUUGUUUAUAGUUGAUUUUUUGGUAUGUUGUGGAAGUCCUACAUCAGAAGGAUAUAAGUUAAGAAUAGUUUAGGUGCUUCAUAAAUAAAAUAAGCACCCUCUUCAUGUAGUAACUUCAGUUUCAGGUUAAUAAAGUUUGUUAUUUUUCUUAUUUUCUGGUUGAUAUUUUUAGAACAUUUAAUUUUGUGUCUUCUACCCUUCUAUUCAUUUGAGUUUCUCUUCUAGGGGUCUGUUUGAAUCGGACUUAUUUGAGCUUAUCUAAUGACUUAAGUACUUUUGAGAUUGUUUUGAAGAGCUUAUGAAGAUAGCUCGUGACAUGUUCAUAAGCUGCGUAAGAUAACUUGUGGAAACAGCUUAUAGCUUAUAUAUAAACCAUGUUGAUUUAUUUUAUCUUUUGUUACAUAAAUAACUUAUACCUAAGCACUUAUGAUGUGAUCCUGGAUUACAGAACCAACAAUUAGAAGAAAAUAGAUUUACAAUGAAAGCAAACAACAAUAGAAUGGCAUUCUAUCCUAUUGUCCAAGUGCUAAGCUCCUCUCUGCCUCUAACAAAUAGAAUGAUCCCAGUUGAUACCUUUCUGUCUCUAUCCAACCUCCUUUUAGCAAAAUCCACUGACACAAUUCAUUUCCAACUUCUUUCCUCUCAUUUUGUCCCUCUAAAUUUCUCUAAACAUAAACUCUCGAUACUAUUGGCCUAGACAACUUAUGUGUUAAAUGUGAGUUAACUUUCUCAUCCCAGGUCCUAUCAACUUAUAGUUAUAUGAUAAAUGUUCAUGCUAUCAACGUUUAAUUAAGUUGUUUGUCGAAACAGAGUCAAGAUACAGAAAAGGGUUAACAAGAUAUUUUUGUACUAUUGAGUUGUUUCAGAAGGAAAAAAAAUACUCAUGAUUUUUAAGAUAACUUCAGAACAGAGUCAAGAUAACUUCUCUUGUGUUCAGUUUAUUAAGAUAAGUUUCUGAAGGAAAAAAAAUUAUGUGCAAAAGUUGAUUUUUUUUAGUUUAUAAGAGAAUCUUAUAGUUAGAAUAAUACUCAUGAUUAUUACAAUAUCAUUUCAACUUUUUCUUUACUACAAGUUCUUGUGGAAAUAUUUAUCAAAAUUGGUUCAUUCUCUCUAAUUGAUCACCUUUUCUAUUUGAUUUUUCAUUGCAAUGUGCUGAAGAAAAACUAACAAACUGUACUAAUCAACUGCUUUAUUUUCUUCAAGUAAAUGGUUAACCGGUAAUUCGAUGUUUUUAUCAACUUCUGUUAGUUUUGAAUUCUAUUUUCUGCAUGCCAAAACAAGGAAACAGGCUCCUUCCAUGAUUUGUGUUGCAUAGGAACUGAUCUCGACUGUCCGAUCUAAAUCCAUUCUAGAGAUUAUUUAAAAUUCAUUUUGUAAAUGUGUAAUAUAAACCGCCUGAUCUCAAAUCAAUAGCCGAUAUUGUUUUAGUGCAUUUAAUUGUGUGCUUCUCUUACAACAAGGAAUCUGGAUUCAUAAAACUAAACCAUGAUCCAUGAUUACGUAGGAUAUGAAGGUGCUGUGAAUAGUUUUGUUGAAGUUUACAAGUUAACUCAGUUGCAUUUAGCAUUUGAAAAAAAGUUUUAUGGAAAAUUCAGUAGCAUAACCUAUCUAGAUCAGAGGGAAUGGCGUGGUUAUUAAACAUCCCGAUUUUUUCAUACAUAUUUUUGAAGCUUAUGUUUUUUUUUUUGUAUAAUGACAAAAAAAAAAAAAAAAAACCUACCCAGGGCAUAAAGCUUGUACAGUCUAGCUCUGAUGCGGAAUGAGUCACUUUAGUCCGUGAAUGAGAAAUGAGUAGUCAUUUUAGUCCCUGAAUGCAGAGAAAUUGCAAAAUAGUCCCUGAAUGUAGACUUUGUUGGUCAAUUUCAGGGACUANUGUGGCAUCUAGUUGUUGUUUCCAACAAGAAACAAAGUUACGUGGAGCCGUUCCAUGAUCGGUGACUGGUGACCACGACCCUUCUUAUGUUUUAAUGCUUGGUCAAAAUUUGCAAUCUUACAAACCAUAUUCUUCUUUUCCUUUCAAUUUCCAAACCCAAACUUAAUACUACAACGUUGUUAGUAUUUGUUUGUAUUUGAGAGCAACUAGUUGAUUGUGGGAGUUUAUAACCUAAAUAUUUGUCCUUAUAAGCAAUUUGGUUCUUAUCAAUCACUAAAAUUUAUUUAAUGAGCUGACUUUUUUUUUGAAGGAAUUUAAUGACCUGACUUAUUUUUCAAUAAAUUUUUAUUCAUUCGAUCUUAUUUUAUGUUGGUUAAUCGAUACUCGUUAUCAAUCCGCUUUGUAACUCCUCAUCUCAACCAUCAUGUCAUCCUUUUUUUUUAUCUGAUUGUCUGGUGGUCGAAACUCACACAAUUAAAUGUGGAGAAGUGGGGUGUUCAGUGUUCGAACUCCAACCCCUACAUAAAUUAUGUAAUGUCUUUACUGAGUUAAGUUCACAGGACUCAUAUCAUCCUUAUAUCCCAAUAUGUUAUAAGGAGUUGAUCAUUUAUAUUUUAUUACAUAUUAUUAUAUAUAGGGUACAUUUGUUUUUCUGAAAAAUAAAUGAUUGGAUAAUACAACUCAAAUUGUACCAUGUUCGAUUUAAGAACCGGUAAUGUGAUUGGAUAAAAAAAAAAAAAAAAGGAAACAAUGACUAGACAAAAAUUAGCAUUCUUAUAUAUCACUAUACUAUGACAUAACUUUUCUUCUUAAUAAAUUAUCUAAAAUAUCAAAAAGAAAAAAACAAGUUAUCUAAAUUAUUAAAAAAAAUCUUUUUUUUCCUGCUUAUUGAUUUUGUGUGACAUCGCUUUGAUUUAUUUCGAUUCAUCAUAUUCUUAUGCCGAUAUUCUUACUAAGAUUGGAAGCUAAGAGUUUAUAUCAUUUUGCUACUUUCAAUGAACCUCUUUUUUAUUAGGCAAUGUCUUAGACGUGUUAUUUUCAAGGAUUUAGUUUAUUUUUCGUUUUUUUUCUUCAUUUUUCUUUUCUUUUUCUUUUUCUCAUGCAAUAAAAAAAAAUUAAGAACCACAAUGAUAUUUUUUUUUUAAAAGAUCCAAAAUUAUACUUAAAAAAACUAACAAAGAGAAAAAAAUAUAAUUUAGAAAAGAAAAAAUAAUAUAGUCUUAUAAAAAUAAACAAAUAAAAAAAAAACUAUAGUCGUUGUAUAAAUUGAUAAUUUAAUUUAAUACAACACCCACCACCUUGACACUCGUGUCAUUCAUAAAGAGAAUAACAAGAAGAAACAGAAGAGGAAGAGGAAGAGGAAGAUGAACGUGGAUCUGGAAUCCUUGGCAGAAGCCACUUCUGGAGCCAUAGGAUCAUUGCUUAGCACAACAAUUCUCUACCCUCUUGAUACUUGCAAGACUAAGUAUCAAGCUGAGGCACGUUCUAAGGGUAACAGAAAGUACAAGUAUGUUUAACAACCCUUUGAUUAUUCAUUUUAUGAUUUCUUGCUUUUGAUCCUGUUACCCUUUGUUGUAAAGAUCAUGUUUUUGUUCUUGAUUUUGUGUUUGAUCGUUUUUUUGUUUUUUGGGUGGUUUCCUUGUUAUUAUCGAUUGUUGAGUUGUUUUGAUUGGUGGGUUUUUUAUCAUUUUGAUUUUGAUGGUGUAAAAAUUGUGUUUUUUUGUUCUUGAUGGAAAAAAAUGUGUUGUUUGAAUUGUGCUAUUUUGUUCUUUGUCGUGGUGGGAAAGGACUCUUGUUUCCUCUGUUUAAGAAUGUUUUCUUUAUGUAUCUCAAAAUAAAUGAGAAUUCCUUUUGAAUUG